AUCUACUCACCCACGCCAACCUCCUCUCCUCCCGAUCCCCAUUCCUCUUCCCUUCUCCCGAUUCCUCUUCCUCCGUCACUCUCCUCUACCGACACAAACAACUCACGGAGCAUCCCAACGCCGCCGACCACGUCGACCACACCACGAUAGCGAUUCAUCAUCGCCGACAUCCGAGUGCCACCCGAGCGCCACAUGAGUGCCACCUUCAGGUGAAGGUAAUUGGGCUGUCCUCAUGCACUGUCAUGCUAAGAGAAAGAAGUCAGAGGUCUCCUUUGUGCAUCACCCCUCUCCAGCCAUCAUAACCCGCUGUUAGAGAAGGAGAGCAAGCGGUUUUGGGGGGUUGUGAUUUGUUAUUUGCCGAUCUUUGUAUCUUCGGCCAGCAUUGUUCAUCGACGAUCCAUGUCUCUGGUCAUCGUGUUCCAGCAGUGAACCCUUCGAUUGUGAGCUGAUAACUUUGGAUUUGGGACAUUGAUUCGAGACGAGCGUCUUGACGUGGGAUCUAUCUGAUACGACCUUCUUUUUGAGCUCUGUCAAUGGUGUGUGCAGGUCCGCAGCUCUUAGCUCCAAGAUCCCUUAGUGUCGUCUCCUUCCGGCUCAGAGUCUUCUUCCAAUCAACACAUAAAUUAUCUUGAUGCUACCUUUAAUCAGUGCAUCAUCUCUUGGCUUUGAGACAGAAUCAUAGGGUAUGUAUGAUUUGAUCUUAGUUCAAUAGGUGAUUUAGAUAGUUAAGAAUCUUACCUCUGUAAUUUUAAAAUGCCUGUUCCCUCUGGUUAACCUCACAUUUUGUAAUCACUCAUUUCCGUAUUUAAAGAAAUAGUCCUUUUGCCUC